rnacentral:rRNA from 1 species
GAUGAACGCUGGCGGCGUGCCUAAUACAUGCAAGUCGAGCGAACAGACGAGGAUCUUGCUCCUCUUACGUUAGCGGCGGACGGGUGAGUAACACGUGGAUAACCUACCUAUAAGACUGGGAUAACUUCGGGAAACCGGAGCUAAUACCGGAUAAUAUAUUGAACCGCAUGGUUCAAUGGUGAAAGACGGUUUUGCUGUCACUUAUAGAUGGAUCCGCGCCGCAUUAGCUAGUUGGUAAGGUAACGGCUUACCAAGGCAACGAUGCGUAGCCGACCUGAGAGGGUGAUCGGCCACCCUGGAACUGAGACACGGUCCAGACUCCUACGGGAGGCAGCAGUAGGGAAUCUUCGGCAAUGGGCGAAAGCCUGACGGAGCAACGCCGCGUGAGUGAUGAAGGUCUUCGGAUCGUAAAGCUCUGUUAUUAGGGAAGAACAACUGUGUAAGUAACUAUGCACGUCUUGACGGUACCUAAUCAGAAAGCCCCGGCUAACUACGUG